GACGAACGCUGGCGGCGUGCUUAACACAUGCAAGUCGAACGGAAAGGCCUGCUUUCCCUUGUGGAUUGCGGGUACUCGAGUGGCGAACGGGUGAGUAACACGUGAGUGAUCUGCCCCCAACUUGGGUAUAAGCCUGGGAAACUGGGUCUAAUUCCCGAUAGGACUGCAGGGUGGUGCCUGUGGUGGAAAACGAUUUUCUAGUGGUUGGGGAUGAGCUCGCGGCCUAUCAGCUUGUUGGUGGGGUAAUGGCCUACCAAGGCGGCGACGGGUAGCCGGCCUGAGAGGGUGGACGGCCACAUUGGGACUGAGAUACGGCCCAGACUCCUACGGGAGGCAGCAGUGGGGAAUAUUGCACAAUGGGCGGAAGCCUGAUGCAGCGACGCCGCGUGGGGGAUGACGGCCUUAGGGUUGUAAACUCCUUUCGACCGCGAGGAAGCCACCUGGUUGGAAGGGUGGUGACGGUAGUGGUAGAAGAAGCACCGGCUAACUACGUG
rnacentral:rRNA from 1 species